rnacentral:rRNA from 1 species
UACGGAGGGUGCAAGCAUUAAUCGGAUUUAUUGGGCGUAAAGGGCGCGUAGGCGGACUGAUAAGUCGGAUGUGAAAGCCCGGGGCUCAACCCUGGAACGGCAUUCGAAACUGUCAAUCUAGAGGGUAGGCGGAGAAAAUGGAAUUCCACAAGUAGCGGUGAAAUGCGUAGAUAUGUGGAAGAACACCGGUGGCGAAGGCGGUUUUCUAGCUUACUCCUGACGCUGAGGCGCGAAAGCUAGGGGAGCAAACAGG